rnacentral:rRNA from 1 species
UACGUAGGGGGCGAGCGUUGUCCGGAAUUAUUGGGCGUAAAGAGCGUGUAGGCGGUUCGGUAAGUCUGCCGUGAAAACCUGGGGCUCAACCCUGGGCGUGCGGUGGAUACUGCCGGGCUAGAGGGUGGUAGAGGCGAGUGGAAUUCCCGGUGUAGCGGUGAAAUGCGUAGAUAUCAGGAGGAACACCGAUGGCGAAGGCAGGUCUCUGGGCUGACACUGACGCUCAUGCACGAAAGCGUGGGGAGCAAACAGG